GUGCUCGCUUCGACAACAAAUAUACUAAAAUUGGAACGAUACAGAGAAGAUUAGCAUGGCCCCUGCACAAGGAUGACAUGCAAAUUCCUGAAGCGUUCCAUAUUUUU